rnacentral:rRNA from 1 species
GACAGCAGCCGCCGCGGGAAUACGUAGGGUGCGAGCGUUAAUCGGAAUUACUGGGCGUAAAGCGUGCGCAGGCGGUUGUGUAAGACAGGUGUGAAAUCCCCGGGCUUAACCUGGGAACUGCGCUUGUGACUGCACAGCUAGAGUAUGGCAGAGGGGGGUGGAAUUCCACGUGUAGCAGUGAAAUGCGUAGAGAUGUGGAGGAACACCGAUGGCGAAGGCAGCCCCCUGGGCCAAUACUGACGCUCAUGCACGAAAGCGUGGGGAGCAAACAGGAUUAGAUACCCCCGUAGUCCCUGUCUCUUAUAC